rnacentral:rRNA from 1 species
GACGAACGCUGGCGGCGUGCUUAACACAUGCAAGUCGAACGAGUGGCGAACGGGUGAGUAAUACGUGAGUAACCUGCCCUCUUUUUGGGAUAAGCCUUGGAAACGGGGUCUAAUACCGGAUAAAGGGGGUUGGGCUCGCGGCCUGUCAGCUUGUUGGUGGGGUAAUGGCCUACCAAGGCGGAGACGGUUAGCCGGCCUGACGGGGUAACCGGCCACAUGGCGACUGGGAUUCGGCCCAGGCUCCUACGGGAGGGAGAAGUGGGGGCAAUGGAACAAUGGGCGAAAGCCUGAUGCAGCGACGCCGCUUGGGGGAUGAAGGCUUGCGGGUUGUAAACCUCUUUCGCUAGCGAACAGGUAGGUGGAGAAGAAGCGCCGGCUAACUACGUGCGAGCAGCCGCGGUAAUUC